CCAAUCACAAUUCUCCAAAGACUUUCGUAGCUCAUCUUUAACUUGCCACGUGUCAUCUCCUUCUUCAUCUUUCCACUUUUGUCCUUUUCCCUUCAACUACUCUUCUCCUUCUUCUACUUCUUUCUCUGCUUCUACUCUUUCACUCUCUCAUUUCAAUCCACACUCCAUGAAAACUAGGGUUCCACUUUGACACCCCCUCUCUCUAGUAACCAUUGAUCAAUGGCUGCGUCUUCUUUACUCUUAGCCGAACUCAAUUUUCUUGCUCCUCAAACCACACCAAAACGUCGUCGUUCUCUCUCUACAUUUACCUCUUACCGUUCCGUUUCGAGUCACAAAUACAAUGUUACUCUCCGCACUCGAAUUCGCGCUGUCAAAGAAGAAGGUGCAUUGCUUGAACAAGAGUUGACCGAAAGAAGAGUGAGCGAUGUGAAAUGGAGUGGAAACGGAGCUGUUACAAGUGUUGUAAACGGUAGCAAUGGCUCCGUUAAAGGUUACGUGAAUGGAGUUGCAAAUGGAAGCUUAGUGAAGUAUGUGAAUGGCAAUGGUGUGGCGGUGGAAGUGGUUGAAGAUUUCGUGGCAACAUCGAAACGGAGGGAAGAUGGGAGGAAGAGGAAGUUGGAGGAGAUUGGAAAAGAAGAUGCGUGGUUCAAACGAAGCGAGGAACCACAGGUUGAGGUGGCGGUUGCGCCUGGUGGUCGUUGGAGCAGAUUCAAGACGUACUCAACAAUCCAGAGAACAUUGGAAAUUUGGGGAUUUGUUAUUAAAUUUAUCUUCAAGUCUUGGCUGAAUCGUCAGAAGUUUUCUUAUAAAGGAGGAAUGACCGAGGAAAAGAAAACCUUAAGACGAAAGACCCUUGCCAAAUGGCUGAAGGAAAGCAUUCUGCGAUUAGGUCCUACAUUUAUCAAAAUUGGCCAGCAGUUCUCCACAAGAGUGGACAUUCUUCCUCAAGAAUAUGUUGACCAGUUGUCAGAACUUCAGGAUCAAGUUCCUCCAUUUCCCUCGGAGACUGCUAUGUCUAUUGUUGAGGAAGAGCUUGGAGCUCCUUUGGCUGGCAUAUUUGAUCAGUUUGACUAUGAGCCAAUAGCUGCUGCAAGUCUUGGUCAGGUUCAUCGUGCAAAAUUAAGAGGACAGGAGGUUGUUGUCAAGGUGCAAAGACCCGGUCUCAAGGAUCUUUUUGAUAUUGAUCUUAAAAAUCUUAGGGUUAUUGCUGAAUAUCUUCAAAAAAUUGAUCCUAAAUCAGAUGGUGCAAAGAGGGACUGGGUUGCUAUUUAUGAUGAGUGUGCCUCUGUUUUAUAUCAGGAGAUUGAUUACACCAAGGAAGGUGCUAAUGCAGAACUAUUUGCAAGCAACUUUAAGAGCAUGGAUUAUGUGAAAGUCCCUUCAAUUUUCUGGGAUUAUACCACCCCACAGAUUCUGACAAUGGAGUAUGUUCCAGGGAUUAAAAUAAACAAAAUACAAGCUUUAGACCAGCUGGGUGUUGACCGGAAAAGGUUAGCGAGAUAUGCUGUUGAAUCAUACUUGGAGCAGAUUUUGUCACAUGGUUUCUUCCAUGCUGACCCCCAUCCUGGAAAUAUUGCAGUCGAUGAUGUCAAUGGUGGUAGAUUGAUCUUUUAUGAUUUUGGUAUGAUGGGAAGUAUCAGUCCAAAUAUCAGAGAAGGUUUACUCGAAGCUUUUUAUGGAAUUUAUGAGAAGAGUCCUGAUAAGGUCCUUCAAGCAAUGAUUCAGAUGGGCGUUCUUGUCCCAACUGGAGAUAUGACUGCUGUUAAACGAACCGCACAGUUCUUCCUCAAUAGUUUUGAAGAACGCCUUGCUGCACAAAGGAGAGAGAGAGAGUUGGAAGCAGCUGAAGAUGGAUUCAAAAAGCCGUUAAGCAAGGAAGAAAAAGUAAUGAAGAAGAAAGAACGUCUGGCUGCUAUUGGUGAAGAUUUAUUAGCCAUUGCAGCAGACCAGCCCUUCCGGUUUCCUGCUACAUUCACAUUCGUUGUUAGAGCCUUCUCGGUUUUGGAUGGCAUUGGAAAGGGACUUGACACCCGUUUUGAUAUUACCGAGAUUGCCAAACCUUAUGCUCUGGAGUUGCUGAGAUUCCGUGAAGCAGGAGUUGAAGUUAUCAUAAAGGACUUUAGAAAGAGGUGGGACAGACAAUCUCAAGCCUUUUACAACUUAUUUAGACAGGCUGACAGGGUUGAAAAGCUGGCUAACGUUAUCCAGAGAUUGGAGCAAGGCGAUCUAAAGCUUAGAGUCCGAGCUUUGGAAUCUGAGAGAGCAUUCCAACGUGUUGCAGCUGUGCAGAAAACAAUUGGGAAUGCAGUAGCUGCUGGGAGCUUAAUAAAUCUUGCAACAAUUCUGUAUCUCAAUUCAAUUAGGGGGCCUGCCACUAUAGCAUAUUUCUUUUGUGCUAUAUUUGGUUUUCAAGUUCUCUUUGGCAUUGUGAAGGUCAAGAAGUUAGAUGAGCGGGAACGGUUGAUUACAGGGACUGCAUAAGCAUCUACAAGGUCGUGUGCGUCUUACCCAUCCCAGACACAAUGAUGGGAGAGCGAGAGCCUUGUCCAAUCGUCUGCCCUUUUCAUGGUGUUUAUUUCUGCUUCCCUGCUCCCGGUGGAUACAUAAGCUGCAUACAUUUGAGCCUCCUCAGAUCAGACCUGACAGUGGUGGGAACUUGCCCAUUGCAGUUAUAGGAUGGACAUUUGCCCAUGUUAAGAUCAUGGUCAAAAGUCAACCUUCAGAGCAUCAAUAAGCAGCUCAAUGUAGUAGCCAACAUCAUGAAAGACAUCAGUGUGCAAAAACAUUCAACUGGAAGUUGCAGGUAUAUUGGAGGCUUCUUUUGUUCAACUGGUUAAUUUGCUUAGAGGAUCAGACUUGAGGUACUCAAUCGGCUAGCCACAUUUUUGUCAAUAAUACGAAACCCUCUCCUUCCAUAAUUUUAUCCUCGAGGUCAAGUAACAUUAUUAUUGUUUUUCUCUAGUACCUCAUAUCUGUAUUAGUAAAUUAUAUAGGGAUUAGUAUAGGUUUAAUGUUAUGAGUACCAUAUUGGUAUAAUAUGGCUUCCAAUAAAUUGACAUCAGGAAGCUAUGCUUGUAACUUACGUACAUAAAUUUGUUCAAUGAAAAUGCAAGUGUAUGUAUUUACCAACCAUA